GUGAGUCAUCGAAUCUUUGAACGCAUAUUGCGCUCUUUGGUAUUCCGAAGAGCAUGCUUGUUUGAGUAUCAGUAAACACCUCAAAGCUUUUGAUUUUUUUUGAAAGCUUUGGACUUGAGCAAUCCCAACACCAAUCUUUUUCAGAUCGGCGGCGGGUUGCUUGAAAUGCAGGUGCAGCUGGACAUUCUCCUGAGCUAAAAGCAUAUUCAUUUAGUCCCGUCAAACGGAUUAUUACUUUUGCUGCAGCUAACAUAAAGGGAGUUUGACCGCAUUGGCUGACUGAUGCAGGAUUUUACAAGGGUCGGCAACGAUUCUUGUUAAACUCGAUCUCAAAUCAAGUAAGACUACCCGCUGAACUUAAGCAUAUCAAUAAGCGGAGGA
rnacentral:misc_RNA from 1 species